rnacentral:rRNA from 1 species
CAGCAGCCACGGGAAUACGAAGGGUGCAAGCGUUAAUCGGAAUUACUGGGCGUAAAGCGUGCGUAGGCGGUGAGUUAAGUCUGCUGUGAAAUCCCCGGGCUCAACCUGGGAAUGGCAGUGGAUACUGGCUCGCUAGAGUGUGUCAGAGGAUGGUGGAAUUCCCGGUGUAGCGGUGAAAUGCGUAGAGAUCGGGAGGAACAUCAGUGGCGAAGGCGGCCAUCUGGGACAACACUGACGCUGAGGCACGAAAGCGUGGGGAGCAAACAGGAUUAGAUACCCCAGUAGUCCAUGUCUCUUAUAC